CUUCGCGGCCUUAUCAGCUUGUUGGUGGGGUGAUGGCCUACCAAGGCGACGACGGGUAGCCGGCCUGAGAGGGCGACCGGCCACACUGGGACUGAGACACGGCCCAGACUCCUACGGGAGGCAGCAGUGGGGAAUAUUGCACAAUGGGCGAAAGCCUGAUGCAGCGACGCCGCGUGAGGGAUGAAGGCCUUCGGGUUGUAAACCUCUUUCAGCAGGGAAGAAGCGCAAGUGACGGUACCUGCAGAAGAAGCGCCGGCUAACUACGUGCCAGCAGCCGCGGUAAUACGUAGGGCGCAAGCGUUGUCCGGAAUUAUUGGGCGUAAAGAGCUCGUAGGCGGUUUGUCGCGUCUGGUGUGAAAACUCGAGGCUCAACCUCGAGCUUGCAUCGGGUACGGGCAGACUAGAGUGCGGUAGGGGAGACUGGAAUUCCUGGUGUAGCGGUGGAAUGCGCAGAUAUCAGGAGGAACACCGAUGGCGAAGGCAGGUCUCUGGGCCGCAACUGACGCUGAGGAGCGAAAGCAUGGGGAGCGAACAGGAUUAGAGACCCUGGUAGUCCAUGCCGUAAACGUUGGGCACUAGGUGUGGGGCUCCUUCCCACGUAGUUCACCACANCUCCGCCCCANUAUCU
rnacentral:rRNA from 1 species